rnacentral:lncRNA from 1 species
GUGGCAUAACAUCGUGGCCACAAGUUAAUUUUUUUCUGUUUAGUAUUAAAUUUAUAUUAAGAUCCAUUUUGUUACAUCUUGUGAUCAAUUUUAUUUGGCAAUCGCCAAUGGCAGUCAGCAGGGUUAAAGAACAUCAGUUGUUCGACCUGUUAGUCAAAUGCGUUUUGUUUAAAUAUACUUUUUCACUUUUUUGGUCUUUUGGAAAAUGUUGUUUGUGCUGUUUUUAGACCCUUCUACAACGAAAUUUGUUUUAUAUGCACACGUAUAAAAAAAUGCUGUUUUUAUCCAACACAAUCAGGUUUGAACGUAGUUUUCAGUUUUCA